GGAAUCAUUUAUUUGUUUUGUUUUGUUUAUUUUGUUUUUCAGUUUUUCUCUGUUUUUGGUUUUUAGUUGCUAAAAAAAAUGCAUCUUCUUGAAAGUUUUAGGCUAUAGACUGACUAAUUUGAGUCGAGUUUGCGGAGACUUGGGAAAAAUUCACAAGAUCGGUAUCGUCUUAACACCGUAAGUCUCCUGCAUAUGGAAAUUGAGUUGAAUUUUUAUAAUGUUUUAGCCUUACAUUCUCAUCCUCUGACAGCUCUUGAGUAGUUUAUUUCAGCAGU
rnacentral:lncRNA from 1 species